AGAACUGCCCUUGCCUACCGCCCUACUGCGGGCGCUCCCCUGUCUGGGGGGUGCUUGGCUGGGUGUGGAGAAGGAUCAAUCACAGCUGACUCCUCAGAGGUGACAGCCCCUGCCCCCUUAAAAACAAGAAAAGACCUAGCAGUGUGAAGCCAAACUGCACCCCCAGCCCCGGUGACAUGAGGAAACCGUGAGGCGCUCAGCCUGAGGUUCAUCGUUCAUCUCCUUCCUGCUUGGAAUCAGAAUGUCCUCACUGCUGAGUUUCUCCGUUUUAUGGGAUUACAUUAGUGGACAAAGGAGUGAAGCAAAGCAGCACUGAGCUCCUCCAAGUAAAGAAAGAAUUGUUUUCUGUACAACCUGGAGCUGAAUCAUAGAAGGAGAAGACAGCUUGAAAGAUAAGAGGCCGUAAGGCAGACCACAGAGGAUGGGGAGGAUUUCCCCAGCACCCCAGCCCCCAUAGUCAGCUCUGGUUCAGCGAUUUCAGCAACUCUUUCAUGACCCAUCUGAUUUUGUUUUAUCCCAGCCCUGCAGAGAAAGGACUCUGCAGGUCAGGACUUGCUUCUUCAACAGACAAAAACUCCUCUGCCAGAAAAGUUGGAGAAACUAGUUUAGAAAGUCGGAGGAUGUGAAGAAGUCUGCCUUUGUUCUGGGGACCUUGGUGGGAGAUGAGGGUGGGCUGGUGGAGACGAGGGUGAGAAUGAACCUUGCCGCAGACCCUUUGGGCUCCAUGCAGAGCUGGCUGCAGAAGAGGAAGGAAAGGAAAUUGGCCAGCUGCUGUCUCUGUGACUGGACCUGGGCCAAUCAAGAAACUGAGAGGAGCAGGGCCAGCCGGCUGUUGUGCCUCAAACUUAGGCAGAAACAAGCAAAGGCAAGGAUUUGGGGCUCUGAGUCACCCUCUCUGGAGGAACAAGAGCUUAGAGGAGGAAAUCACUUUUUAAGCUCCCUUUACUUUUACACACACGUUUUUAUUCCAGUAAAUUCAAACUAAAGAGGAAGAAGUCAUGAAAGGGCAGCUGCCACCUCAGGCCAUGGUGGCGGAGACAAAGGCUAUGGGCCGGUGUAGACGUCUAAGAAACCAACAGGAAGUCCCAGCCGGAAACACAGAAAGGAUAUGGAGAAAAUUAUUAUUCUGCCCCUACAGUUUCGGUGACCCAGAUGGGAUCUCUGGGACACCCUGCCUGCUCUACAAUUGGGAUCCCUGGAAAAGUGACAGAAUCUGGCAACAGAUGAGUAAGAAAGGUCACUUCCUGGCAGACCUCAGGUAUAUUGGGGACAUCAAGAAAAGAAUAAUUCAUCAAAGUCUACAGAUAUUGCAGGCAAAGUUGAAACAAGCCAGACAAGUUCUCUUUGUAUUCUUGAGAGACUUGGAAAGUCUAACCUGAGAUUCCUUAUUAAAAGUUCCAGCAAAACAGACUUAAAAA